UUGGCUCAGGAUGAACGCUGGCGGCGUGCUUAACACAUGCAAGUCGAACGAAGCACUUUGCUUGAUCCCUUCGGGGUGAUUGCUUUGUGACUGAGUGGCGGACGGGUGAGUAACGCGUGGGUAACCUGCCUCAUACAGGGGGAUAACAGCUGGAAACGGCUGCUAAUACCGCAUAAGCGCACAGUACCGCAUGGUACAGUGUGAAAAACUCCGGUGGUAUGGGAUGGACCCGCGUCUGAUUAGCCAGUUGGCGGGGUAACGGCCCACCAAAGCAACGAUCAGUAGCCGACCUGAGAGGGUGACCGGCCACAUUGGGACUGAGACACGGCCCAGACUCCUACGGGAGGCAGCAGUGGGGAAUA
rnacentral:rRNA from 1 species